rnacentral:rRNA from 1 species
UACGUAGGUGGCGAGCGUUGUCCGGAUUUACUGGGCGUAAAGAGCGCGCAGGCGGCUGGUCAAGUCCGAUGUGAAAGCUCCCGGCUUAACUGGGAAAUUGCAUCGGAAACUGAUCGGCUGGAAGGUGGGAUAGGGUAGCGGAAUUCCCGGUGUAGUGGUGAAAUGCGUAGAUAUCGGGAGGAACACCAGUGGCGAAGGCGGGUCUCUGGACAGUUCCUGACACUGAGGCACGAAGGCCAGGGGAGCAAACGGG